rnacentral:rRNA from 1 species
UACAGAGGGUGCAAGCGUUGUUCGGAAUUAUUGGGCGUAAAGCGCGUGUAGGCGGCUUGGCAAGUCGGUUGUGAAAUCCCGGGGCCCAACCCCGGAACUGCAUUCGAAACUGCCUCGCUAGAGUCCCGGAGGGGAAGGCGGAAUUCCCGGUGUAGAGGUGAAAUUCGUAGAUAUCGGGAGGAACACCAGCGGCGAAGGCGGCCUUCUGGACGGUGACUGACGCUGAGACGCGAAAGCGUGGGGAGCAAACAGG